rnacentral:misc_RNA from 1 species
UUUCCGUAGGUGAACCUGCGGAAGGAUCAUUACUGAGUGAGGGCCCCUCGGGGUCCAACCUCCCACCCGUGUUUAACGAACCUUGUUGCUUCGGCGGGCCCGCCUCACGGCCGCCGGGGGGCAUUUGCCCCCGGGCCCGCGCCCGCCGAAGCCACCUGUGAACGCUGUCUGAAGUAUGCAGUCUGAGACAAUUAUUAAAUUAAUUAAAACUUUCAACAACGGAUCUCUUGGUUCUG